rnacentral:rRNA from 1 species
AAACUUGAGCUAAUACCGUAAAAUGACUCCGGUCCAAAGAUUUAUCGCCUGAGGAUGAGCCCGCGUCGGAUUAGCUAGUUGGUGAGGUAAAGGCUCACCAAGGCGACGAUCCGUAGCUGGUCUGAGAGGAUGAUCAGCCACACUGGGACUGAGACACGGCCCAGACUCCUACGGGAGGCAGCAGUGGGGAAUAUUGGACAAUGGGCGAAAGCCUGAUCCAGCAAUGCCGCGUGAGUGAUGAAGCCUUAGGGUUGUAAAGCUCUUUUACCCGGGAUGAUAAUGACAGUACCGGGAGAAUAAGCCCCGGCUAACUCC